UGUGUGUGUGUGUGUGUGUGUGUGUGUGUGUGUGUGUGUUUUGAUGGUAAUGGAGUAAAGGAUUUGGGGCAGUGGUCUGUAUUAAGGUCAAGCUAGAAAAGCCCAUUAGCUUAACCUACAAAAACAUAAUUUGCAACCUUGUCAUCCACAGAAGGGUUCGCCUUGACAUUCAGUAGUCCGACGGCAAGACGUAGACAACAGAAAAGUACUCUCUCUAGGGUUAGGGUUAGGGUUCUUUUUUCUUGUGUACCUCUUAUCCGCAUGUCAUUAUUUCACUUUGUGACGGCACUGACUCCCAGUAUGAGAUGAAAAUGGACUUUAUCAACUUUAUCAAUCCAAGACGGCAAGUGUGGGUGUCACAGUACCAGACCGUCAUUCAAGUAAAAGCAAAAUAAUUCCAGACGAAGUAUAUGCACAGAACGACAAAAACAUGACAAAACUAAUCUCAGAGAUAGUCAGUCCUUGUUUGAUUUCUUUGUGCGCUCUGUUUGAACUCUGCGGUCUGCUGUAGAGAUGCCUGUUACGUGAUACAAACAGUUGUGGUAACAGUGUUUUUAUUGUCUGAACUACUGCUGGUCUCCAAGGGCAUGGAGACUAGCACUGCCAUUGUAGAGCCUGCCUGACCAAGCCUGUUUGAGGAAAUAAAACCAAUACAAUGUCUGGUAAUAUAAGAAUGUCCAUCUGACGCAACCGUUCCUAUUGGGCGUGAAAUGUGGUUCUCUAUUGUGCAACACAUCGUAUCGGAAUAGGGCAUGUAUUUAGUUCAUGUUUAAAAAUCAAGAAUUCACUCUAACUAACAGUACCAUGCGUUUGUUAUAAUUAUUGAAGAACACAAGGCAAAAUAAAUCAAAUAUGAAUACAAAUCCUAUCUGGAAAAUACAGUGCAUAAGGAAUUGAAUUAAGAAGAAAUUCUUAUAUAUCGUUAAGAUUAAAGUAAACAUUUAAAUUCAGUUUUUUUAAGGAACCCUUUGCAAAAUAAGAACUACAGGACAAGUGUUAAUAAAAACACGAGUGGUGUCGUUUGAGAUGGUUAUCUGUUUAUUUUUAAGGGAUGGAUCUUGAUUGUUUGCUUAAAGACAGGAGACAUGCGCCUUUUUCAAUGUUUGUGCAGAUGGGGACAUUUUAUUAGUCUAUAUUAGUGAUGGAUUUCAUGAUUCUUUCCCUUGAUUCAGUUGACGUCGGUCAGUUCCCCAAGAAGAAUCGUUCAGAAUCGUUUGUUUGUUUGUUUGUUUAGUCGCGUUUCCGGUAGCUGAGUCAGUCAGACUCAGCUCUUCCCUCGUUCUCAUUCUCAAACGAUCAUUCAAGUCGGUCAUCAAUCAACACAACAUUACAACUAAGAUCCUUUCAGCUGAGGACUUAGACAAACCAAACUCAGUGGGAUGGGGGUGGGGGGUGUAGUUGAUUAUUGGAUGUUUAACAUAUCAGCAAGAUAAUAGACUUGAUUUAGCAAUGAUGGAGUUCAAAAGUAAAUUAUGUACAGUUGUGUUUAUUUGGGGCAUAUUUGAUUUUUCUUGGGUUAAAAGUAACUCAACACUAUUGUGAAGAUAGCCACCCCCCACUCAAGAAUCUAUCAAGAUCCACCACGGUGGGGGUCCCGGGUCGCGUGCGUUUUUGACGAGAUUGACGCGACAUUCUAAUAUUUUAUUAAUCUGGCAUGACACAGAAAAUACAAAGACGGCAUGCAUUUACCAUUUCACUGAUAUUUAAUCGUAUUAUCGUACGCUCGCUCAUUAAGCCCAUUUGUUGUUGUUUUUCAAGAAAACGGUUGAUUCCUGUCUCUCAUUGGCUAGAAUUCGACGAGAGCGUCCUAGACUCAGUCCUAGAACAGCAUAUGAUUGGCUGGCUCUCGUGAGUCGUAAGGUCUCUCAGUCGGUUCCUCUUCACCACUCACAGUCAGUGAACGAACAGCGACUCAGCGACUAGUGGGUCUGGGAGGAGUUGAGUCUGGGAGGAGUCGAGUCUGAGAGCGAAAGAGAUGAAUGAGAGAGAAGAAUCAGUUCGAUUCAUUCUUGUUAAAUAUUCGUUCAUUUGAACUGAUUCGGCCGCAAACGACCCAUCACUAGUCUAUAUGCCUUAGUUCUACAUUUAGAAAGACGCACAUUAAAAUCUAAUUUCAUCACUUGCCCAUCGAGUAUUACGGCUUUUAGCAUGAUUGUUGUCUGAUGAUGGUGAAUCAUUUAAGUGUGGGUUCUGCCUUUUUCCACAUGUUUUUUGGGCGCUGUUGGCUGUUGUAAUUAAUCUUUAGUCAUUGAUAUGACCUGCCUUUGUUUUUCAUCCUUCUUGCACUCUUAUACUACUGAAUGUUACUAUGGUACUGUAUAGGUCUCCACAACAUAGACUCUGUUAUGUUCAUGUGUUUUUCCAAUGACUUCCACUUUCAAAUAUAGAUUGCGGAAGAAUGACAGAAAUAUUAAUCCUGUAUUAAAUGGUAUUAACAUUUGUAACGUUUUGUAAUCUAUUGUUCCCAGGGUGUACCCAACAUGCUUGAUCAAGUUGCAAUAAAUCUUACAGAUUGAAGAUUACAUAUCAAUUCUUAACUGUGGGAUAAUGUAUGUUGAAGCCAUGAAUAAAUCAAUUAAACACAAAGAACAUAUUUAAAUGGCAGAUCAUUAAA
ensembl:lncRNA